rnacentral:rRNA from 1 species
AUGCAGUGUCAUUAUGAUAUCGGGAAAUACUUGCUCCAAUUCAUGAUUGAAAGAAAUGUUCUACAUAUAUCAACAGAUAGGGGAGUAACAAAAGAAGAUCCAGUGCUGGUUCUUAAGAAAGGUCAAGGGUAUAUAGAGAAUUCUGUUUAUGUUAUGUGGAAUUUGAACAUAAAUCUGCUCCCUAUCAAACUCAAUCUUCCGAUGCUUUGCAAACCCUUGGAUUGGCAACCAGCAGAGAGGGGGUCUGAUCCUGAUACAUUAUCGGAUCUGAUAGGAGGUUACUUAUGCAAAGCCAUGGGGGAUAUCUAG